AAGUCGUAACAAGGUUUCCGUAGGUGAACCUGCGGAAGGAUCAUUAGUGAUUGCCUUAAUUGGCUAACUAUAUCCAUCAACACCUGUGAACUGUUCGAUUGAAUCUCUUGGUUCAAUUUUUACAAACAUUGUGUAAUGAACGUCAUUUAUUAUAACAUAAUAAAACUUUCAACAACGGAUCUCUUGGCUCUC
rnacentral:misc_RNA from 1 species